CAGGAGCAACGGCGUGGUGCUCAGGGCUUAAUAACUGAGUUUGUUUUUACCUUUUCUUCGGUUUGUAAGCCUCGCAUCGAUUCUAAUGGAUUUCUUUUUCCGUUUCUUAAACCUUUCCCCGAUUUACAGUGAUCUGUUUAUGAUAGAAUCCGUUCUGCUUGAUGGAAUAUUUAGUUUAUUCUUUAUUUGUUGUUGAAAUACGCUAAAUAUUGCAUGUAUUUAAUUUUACAAUGCUCAGAAAGUAUUUGUCAAUCUGAUAUAUGUAAAAAAUUCCCUUUUCGGAGUACCAUAAAGCUAAAUUUGUUACUGAUGUUCAUCUUAUUCUGUUGAUCUUAUUCUUCGUAUGCUUAUGUUUACAUUCAUGUAUAUUUGAAUUCUGCUUUCUAUUUAAGCAGCUGGAAGGAAUUGACUCAAUGUUAUUGAUUUUGAUAGGACAUCAGCUUCGUUCGUCAAACCCUAGCUAAACCCCUGUUCAUCUUCUGGGAUCGAUAUUUAAGUAACGACCAUGAGUACUCCUUUAAACGAAGGUGAAGAUCACGGUGAUGUCUUUCUUGAUGAAGAUGACAUCGUAGAAGAAAUCAAUG
rnacentral:lncRNA from 1 species